UACGGAGGAGGCAAGCGUUAUCCGGAAUUAUUGGGCGUAAAGCGUCCGCAGGUGGCGAUUCAAGUCUGCGGUUAAAGACUGGGGCUUAACCCUGGAAAGGCCGUGGAAACUGAAACGCUAGAGUGCAGUAGGGGUAGAGGGGAAUUCCCGGUGUAGCGGUGAAAUGCGUAGAGCUCGGGAAGAACAUCGGUGGGCGAAAGCGCUCUGCUGGACUGCAACUGACACUCAGGGACGAAAGCUAGGGGAGCGAAUGGG
rnacentral:rRNA from 1 species